rnacentral:rRNA from 1 species
UUCCAGACUCCUACGGGAGGCAGCAGUGGGGAAUAUUGCGCAAUGGGCGAAAGCCUGACGCAGCGACGCCGCGUGAGUGAGGAAGUAUUUCGGUAUGUAAAGCUCUAUCAGCAGGGAAUAGAAAAGAAGGUACCUGAAAAAGAAGCCCCGGCUAACUACGUGCCAGCAGCCGCGGUAAUACGUAGGGGGCAAGCGUUAUCCGGAUUUACUGGGUGUAAAGGGAGCGUAGACGGAAAGGCAAGUCAGAAGUGAAAGCCCAAGGCUCAACCAUGGGACUGCUUUUGAAACUGUCAAACUAGAGUACGGGAGAGGUGAGAGGAAUUCCUAGUGUAGCGGUGAAAUGCGUAGAUAUUAGGAGGAACACCAGUGGCGAAGGCGACUAUCUGGCACAUAACUGACGCUGAGGAGCGAAAGCGUGGGUAGCAAACAGGAUUAGAUACCCUAGUAAC